rnacentral:rRNA from 1 species
GACAGAGGAUGCAAGCGUUAUCCGGAAUGAUUGGGCGUAAAGCGUCUGUAGGUGGCUUUUUAAGUCUGCCGUCAAAUCCCAGGGCUUAACCCUGGACAGGCGGUGGAAACUACCAAGCUGGAGUACGGUAGGGGCAGAGGGAAUUUCCGGUGGAGCGGUGAAAUGCGUAGAGAUCGGAAAGAACACCAACGGCGAAAGCAGCUCGCUGGGACGGUACUGACGCUGAGACGCGAAAGCGUGGGGAGCAAACAGG